CAGCAGCCGCGGGAAUACGAAGGGUGCAAGCGUUAAUCGGAAUUACUGGGCGUAAAGCGUGCGUAGGCGGUGAGUUAAGUCUGCUGUGAAAUCCCCGGGCUCAACCUGGGAAUGGCAGUGGAUACUGGCUCGCUAGAGUGUGUCAGAGGAUGGUGGAAUUCCCGGUGUAGCGGUGAAAUGCGUAGAGAUCGGGAGGAACAUCAGUGGCGAAGGCGGCCAUCUGGGACGACACAGACGCUGAGGCACGAAAGCGUGGGGAGCAAACAGGAUUAGAUACCCCCGUAGUCCCUGUCUCUUAUAA
rnacentral:rRNA from 1 species